GACGAACGCUGGCGGCGUGCUUAACACAUGCAAGUCGAACGUGAUUUUUGUGGAAAGCCCUUCGGGGACGGAAAUGAAAUGAAAGUGGCGAACGGGUGAGUAACACGUGAGCAACCUACCUUACACAGGGGGAUAGCCGUUGGAAACGACGAUUAAUACCGCAUGAGACCACAAAGCCACAUGGCUUAGGGGUAAAAGAUUUAUCGGUGUAAGAUGGGCUCGCGUCUGAUUAGCUAGUUGGAAGGGUAAAGGCCUACCAAGGCAACGAUCAGUAGCCGGUCUGAGAGGAUGAACGGCCACAUUGGAACUGAGACACGGUCCAAACUCCUACGGGAGGCAGCAGUGGGGAAUAUUGCACAAUGGGGGGAACCCUGAUGCAGCGACGCCGCGUGAGCGAAGAAGGUUUUCGAAUCGUAAAGCUCUGUCCUAUGAGAANAUAAUGACGGUANCAUAGGAGGAAGCCCCGGCUUAAAUACGUGCCNGCANCCGCGGUAAUACNUAUGGG
rnacentral:rRNA from 1 species